GUAUAAUCAGAAAAAUAACAUUGUAAAAGAAAGCUCUCUAAACCACUUGUGGCCUGGUUGAAUGGGGCCAUAAACUAUCAUCAUAUUUAUCUUUCUCAUUCAAUACAGUCCAUCUGCCUGGAUCUUUACUUGGCACAGAUUCCUUGGACAUUAACUUGAGGGGAUGGAUGGUUUAUGACUAAGAACAAUACAGCCCCCAGUCUUUCCACAUUUCAUUAUCACAUCAUGGAAAAGUGGGACCUAUUUGAAUAAUACUAAACCAUUCAGACUCCAGAGAGAGCCCUGAAGAUCUGGGUGCGUCCUCCAGAGCCCUAGCCAAGUCAGACACAGAGCAUUCCUCUUUCUUCUGUGAAGUUCACAUUCAGCAAGGCACGACCUUAAAUGAAAAAUCAACUAUGUGGGGCAGAACAAACUCCGAGAGCAUGGUGAAGACUUAGCAAGCAGCACUGACUGGAGAACGACUUAGCAGAAAGAAUGCAGAGCUAGAGCGGAUCAUGGCAACUAUGCAAUAAACAACUUGAAGAAUCAUUCCGUCAAGUGUGGGAACCAGAGUGGAAAGAUUGUCUUCAGCCUGCAGCCAACACCAGUCACCACCUAUCAGAGAAAUGCAUCCUGUGAGUACCACAUUCCAGCGUCUCUGGAAGACCUCCAUUUCCUCCCCAGGCUGGGAGAGGCUCAGGCACCUUGGCUCUCUUGGCAGAAAGGCAGCUCCUAGGUGGAACUUGGGCAGUGCCCUCUGCCCUCAUAGCUGUGUCUGCAGGCUGUACCUGUGGCAUCCUUGGCCAGCCCACUCACGCCAAGGCAGUGUGUGCCCCACCCCAACCCAGCCAAGCCAUCUGCAAGAAGCAAUAAUCUCCAUCCCUCUGCUAGUUGGACUGUAGUUCUCAUAGGACUGGCCACAGCUGACAUUCCAGAAGCUGAGGGAAGAAAGAGCCUUAGAAGAUAAGUAAACACGUAAGACCUCGAUUCUCUGCAGGAAGAGGUCAUUACACCUCGGUGUGUUUUCUGUCAGGCAUUCAUGCAGUUGUUGCAUGUCCAAGGGCUGCUGGGAACACUUCAAAAACCCAGAGAAUCAAGCGCUACAAGGUAACAGUUGCUGUUAAUAAGGGGUACCAUAGCACUUUGUGCUCACCCUGCAGGAGCUGUGGAGCGUCACCACUCACUCACACCCCAGGGGAGGAACUUGGGACCGAGAAAAAUCUAGGAAUCACUGGGCAGCAAAAUAAAAAUGUCACCACACUGUAUAGAUGGCCUAUAAAAAGGAGCAGAGUGCGGAAGGAAGGAUGCAGGAGGCUGGCUUGACUGAUCGCUGGCAGAGGCUUUCCUAGCUGCAGCCUGCUGUUACCACCCACGGAUGUUCCUCCCGGGACAUCGCUGAGACAUAAGACACGUACAGAGCCCUUGUUAAUAAACAGACUUGGCACUACAGCACGGCUCUGCUAAGCCUUGUGCCUAUUUGCGUGGUGAUUUACUAAAUAUGAAAAUAAAGCUGUUCCUUAAAGAACCCCCAACUUUUCCAUUCCAAUGCAUUUUUAUCUAAAUCUAGAGGAUUCGCAGUGCUGGCAGUGGGCGGCACUCACUCUUACGUUAGCUGAGAACCGAAAUGCAGGUUCCCAUCACCAAUCGGAGAAUAAAAUUCUCUAUUAGACUGUGGGGCACGUAGGUGAAAGAAUGCUAAUCACCAAACACAGAAUCAUAGGGACACUGUUGGUCACUAAGGGAGCCAGGCUCCCCAAGGCAGCUAUGAGCUGAGCUCUCAGACUCCAGGUACAGUGAGGAAGGCUUAUUAUAGA